rnacentral:rRNA from 1 species
GCAGCCGCGGUAAUACGUAGGUCCCGAGCGUUGCGCGAUGUUACUGGGCGUAAAGCGUCCGUAGCCGGUUUCGUAAGCGGAUUGUCAAAGCCCGAAGCUCAACUUCGGCAAGGCAUUCCGAACUGCGUUACUUGAGUCCUGUUCAGGUAGGCGGAGUUCCCGGUGUAGCGGUGAAAUGCGUAGAUAUCGGGAGGAACACCAGUGGCGAAGGCGGCCUACUGGGACGGUACUGACGGUCAUGGACGAAAGCUGGGGGAGCAAACCGGAUUAGAUACCCGGGUAGUCCCAGCCGUAAACGAUGGAUGUUAGGUGUAGUGAUAACUUCGCUGCACCCCAGCUAACGCGUUAAACAUCCCGCCUGGGGAGUCGGGCGCAAGCCUGAAACUCAAAGGAAUUGG